UUUGUUAAAUCAAACCAAAGGCCUUCAAAGCCUUAAACACGCGUCAACCUCACUUC
rnacentral:tRNA from 1 species